GAUGGACGAAAGUCUGACGGAGCGACGCCGCGUGGUGGAUGAAGUACUUAGGUACGUAAACACCUUUUAUGAGUGAAGAAGUAUAUUGACAUUAGCUCAUGAAUAAGGGGCUCCCAACUCUGUGCCAGCAGGAGCGGUAAUACAGAGGCCCCAAGCGUUAUCCGGAUUCACUGGGCGUAAAGGGUGCGUAGGCGGUUAUAUUAGUCGAGUGUUAAAUCCUUGGGCUCAACCCAAGAAUCGCAUUCGAAACGGUAUAACUAGAAGUAGUCAGAGGCUAGCAGAGCUCUCGGUGUAGGGGUGAAAUCCGUUGAUAUCGAGGGAAAUACCAAAUGCGAAGGCAGCUAGCUGGGGCUCACUUGACGCUGAGGCACGAAAGCGUGGGUAGCGAACGGGAUU
rnacentral:rRNA from 1 species